AGUGAACGCUGGCGGUAGGCCUAACACAUGCAAGUCGAACGGCAGCACAGUAAGAGCUUGCUCUUACGGGUGGCGAGUGGCGGACGGGUGAGGAAUACAUCGGAAUCUACUUUUUCGUGGGGGGUAACGUAGGGAACCUUACGCUAAUACCGCAUACGACCUACGGGUGAAAGCAAGGGAUCUUCGGACCUUGCGCGAUUGAAUGAGCCGAUGUCGGAUUAGCUAGUUGGCGGGGUAAAGGCCCACCAAGGCGACGCUCCGUAGCUGGUCUGAGAGGAUGAUCAGCCACACUGGAACUGAGACACGGUCCAGACUCCUACGGGAGGCAGCAGUGGGGAAUAUUGGACAAGGGGCGCAAGCCUGAUCCAGCCAUACCGCGUGGGUGAAGAAGGCCUUCGGGUUGUAAAGCCCUUUUGUUGGGAAAGAAAAGCAGCAGGUUAAUACCCCGCUGUUCUGACGGUACCCAAAGAAUAAGCACCGGCUAACUUCGU
rnacentral:rRNA from 1 species